GGCUCAGAACGAACGCUGGCGGCGUGCCUAACACAUGCAAGUCGAGCGAGAAAGCCCGCAAGGGUGAGUAAAGCGGCGCACGGGUGCGUAACACGUGGGUAAUCUGCCCUGAAGUCCGGAAUAACUCGCCGAAAGGCGUGCUAAUGCCGGAUAAGACCACGGGAGCCUCGGCUCCUGCGGAAAAAGGUGGCCUCUGUACACAAGCUAUCACUUCAGGAUGAGCCCGCGGCCCAUCAGCUCGUUGGCGGGGUAAUGGCCCACCAAGGCUACGACGGGUAGCUGGUCUGAGAGGACGAUCAGCCACACUGGAACUGAGACACGGUCCAGACUCCUACGGGAGGCAGCAGUGGGAAUCUUGCGCAAUGGGCGAAAGCCUGACGCAGCAACGCCGCGUGUGUGAUGAAGGUCUUCGGAUCGUAAAGCACUGUCGCGAGGGACGAAUAAGGGUUGGGUGAACAAUCCAGUCCGAUGACGGUACCUCGAGAGGAAGCACCGGCUAACUCUGUGCCAGCAGCCGCGGUAAUACAGAGGGUGCAAGCGUUGUUCGGAAUUAUUGGGCGUAAAGCGCGUGUAGGCGGCUUUGUAAGUCAGGUGUGAAAGCCCUCGGCUUAACCGAGGAAGUGCGCCUGAAACUGCAGAGCUUGAGUGCCGGAGAGGGCGGUGGAAUUCCCGGUGUAGAGGUGAAAUUCGUAGAUAUCGGGAGGAACACCAGCGGCGAAGGCGACCGCCUGGACGGUAACUGACGCUGAGACGCGAAAGCGUGGGGAGCAAACAGGAUUAGAUACCCUGGUAGUCCACGCUGUAAACGAUGAGCGCUAGGUGUUGUGGGUGUUGACCCCUGCAGUGCCGCAGCUAACGCAUUAAGCGCUCCGCCUGGGAAGUACGGCCGCAAGG
rnacentral:rRNA from 1 species